rfam:Glossina morsitans morsitans, isolate Yale, WGS project CCAG01000000 data, contig: ctg10019945
AUGUAGCUCCCACCACAUGGAGUCCUGUUGCAAGCCUUCGCGAAAAACUACCUAGCGGCGAUUCCGCGGAGAGAAAUGAUCAAGGUAACGAGUGGAUUGAGAGGGGGAGGGUGGAUUUGGUACGUAGGCGCCAAAAUUGGUGAAUCGUGCAUGCUGCUUUUAAGAGCCACAGUACCUUUUGUGGAUUUCGACCUUCACAUAC